rnacentral:lncRNA from 1 species
UUAUGAUUGAUAAACCUCUAACACACGUCAAGUGUCUUUGGUUCAUAUAACUUGCUAUACCAACUACACUGUGUUAUGUAUCUCAAUCUAAGACUGGUUCAUAUAGCUUGUUAUACCAGCUCUGAUGCAUUAUACCUUAUGAGACCCAGCAUAAAAGUUUCUUUUCUCUCAACUUUCUUUUGCAAUAAGUGGGGGAUUGUUGUAAUAAUGUUAGAUUAUUGCAAAAGAAACGUUGCUCAACGGUAAUAUGCCAACAUUCAAAUUUUUCAAUGUCAAUUAAUUUUGCAACGUUAAAAUCAUUGAUUAGUUUUAAUUUCUUUUAUUUAUUUUAUUCUUUCUUAGCUCUAUAGAUAGAGAGCUCUUCCCCCAUUCCAAAAUACCAAGUUCAGUCUUUCACAUUAUUCUCCUCUCUUCUUAGUUUCAUUCUCU